UACGAAGGGGGCUAGCGUUGCUCGGAAUCACUGGGCGUAAAGGGCGCGUAGGCGGGAUGGCAAGUCGGUCGUGAAAUCCUUCGGCCCAACCGAAGAACGUCGGCCGAUACUGCCAUUCUUGAGGGAUGCAGAGGAGACUGGAAUUUACGGUGUAGCGGUGAAAUGCGUAGAUAUCGUAAGGAAGACCAGUGGCGAAGGCGGGUCUCUGGACAGUUCCUGACGCUGAGGCACGAAGGCCAGGGGAGCAAACGGG
rnacentral:rRNA from 1 species